AACGAACGCUGGCGGCGUGGAUAAGACAUGCAAGUCGGACGGGGCAAUCGUUGUAGCAAUACGGCGGUUGUUCAGUGGCGAACGGGUGCGUAACACGUGGGCAAUCUGCCAGGAAGUGGGGGAUAGCUCGCCGAAAGGCGAAUUAAUACCGCAUGUGGCCAGGGAGGACAUCCUCCUGACGCCAAAGCCGGGGUCAAACCUGGCGCUUCCUGAUGAGCCCGCGGCCUAUCAGCUAGUUGGUGGGGUCACGGCCCACCAAGGCGAUGACGGGUAGCUGGUCUGAGAGGACGACCAGCCACACUGGGACUGAGACACGGCCCAGACACCUACGGGUGGCAGCAGUCGAGAAUUUUUCUCAAUGGGGGAAACCCUGAAGGAGCGACGCCGCGUGGAGGAUGAAGGUCUUCGGAUUGUAAACUCCUGUCAUUAGAGAACAAGUGUCGGCAUUUAACUGGUGCCGGCUUGAUAGUAUCUGAAGAGGAAGAGACGGCUAACUCUGUGCCAGCCGCCGCGGUAAGAC
rnacentral:rRNA from 1 species